UACGUAGGGUGCAAGCGUUAAUCGGAAUUACUGGGCGUAAAGCGUGCGCAGGCGGUGAUGUAAGACAGAUGUGAAAUCCCCGGGCUCAACCUGGGAACUGCAUUGGUGACUGGCAGGCUUUGAGUGUGGCAGAGGGAGGUAGAAUUCCACGUGUAGCAGUGAAAUGCGUAGAGAUGUGGAGGAAUACCGAUGGCGAAGGCAGCCUCCUGGGCCAACACUGACGCUCAUGCACGAAAGCGUGGGGAGCAAACAGG
rnacentral:rRNA from 1 species